AUAACCCUCCAGUUUCUUCUCUCUGUUCUUCUCCUUCCUCGUACACAACCGAGAGCGAGAGAGGUCAUGAUCUUGGUCUGCUAAAUGCCACCCAGGUCAUGAUCUUCCAUCUCACCACCCUUUGAGCACAAAAUUGUGAUCUUCAUUUCAAUUUUUAUCAAUCCCAAAACCAUCAGAGAUAAGUCUAGGGCUAAGCUUACUUCUUUUUUGCUCUUCUUUCUCUGUAUUUCAACUUUUAGGAGAUGGCAAAGCGAACGUUUAAGCAGUUUGUAGAACAAGAACUUGGACAAGUCCUAAAGUUUUUCAUUUAUGCAGUGCUGGAAUGGAUAAUGAUAUUUGUUCUGUUCAUUGACGGGUUUCUUGCAUUUUUCGCAAACGAAUUUGCUAACUUCUUUGAGUUGCCUAUCCCUUGCUUGCUUUGCACCCGGAUUGAUCAUGUCCUUGUACGGAGAAAUUCUGAUUUCUAUUACAAUGAUUCCAUAUGUGAACAUCAUAAGAAGAAUGUUUCAACUCUUGCAUUCUGUCAUGCUCACAAGAAGCUUUCUGACAUAAGAAACAUGUGUGAGAGCUGUCUUCUUUCCUUCGCAACUGGGAAAGAAUCCGAUUGUGAUACUUACAAGUCCCUUCUGGGGAUCCUACACAAGGAUAUUGAGUUGUUUGUUGAUGAAGAUCAUGAAGUUCAUCUGUCAUUGCCUGCUGGAAAGAAGGAAAACGAAGCAGCCAUUGAGAAGAGCCAUGAUCAUCUUUGUUCAUGUUGUGGGGAGCCAUUGAAGGUGAAAUCCUCCUAUAUAAAAGGGAAGCAUUCAUCCCUAGCUCCUGCUCCAUCUCCCCGGGCACCAGCCAAUCCAAAUUUGGAUUUGUCACACAUAAAUUAUACGGAGCUCAAGCUUAACUCGGAUGAAUCAGAGGUUCAUGAGGAUAAUGAUCGCUCGAGGGGAAUAAGCCUUGAAAAGCCAUUCGAAGACGCCAAGGCUGCUACAGUACCAUUGCUGAUGGAUGCUGAUGAUGAAGAUAAGACCCCUAACUUUAUUAGGGGAAACAAGUUUUUCGGAAUCCCGCUGUCGGAUUCAGCAACCAACAGUCCCAGGUGGACAAGAAUUACGAGGAAAUCACUGCUUGAGAAAACAGAGUUUGCUUCAGAAUCUGGAGAUGGGCCAGUGCCAAAUGAGGCAGAAGGUGAUAUUUUGCAUCAUUUGAAGAGACAAGUUCGUAUGGAUCGCAAGUCGCUGAUGGCUUUGUACAUGGAACUGGAUGAAGAAAGAAGUGCAUCUACUGUUGCAGCUAACAAUGCAAUGGCCAUGAUUACGAGGUUGCAAGCUGAGAAGGCAGCUGUUCAGAUGGAGGCCUUACAAUACCAGAGAAUGAUGGAGGAGCAGGCAGAAUACGACCAAGAAGCACUACAAGAGAUGAGUAAUUUGCUGGCCAAGAGAGAGGAAGAAAUUAAGGAUUUAGAGGCUGAACUUGAGGUUUACAGACAAAAUUAUGGAUGCUUAAAGGAAGUUGAUUUUGAAGGACAAGGAGAAGAGAGUGAUGGGGGCUACCGAGUAUUAAAACCACCAUCUAACUCUUCCUAUAAUGGAAGAACUGAAUGUACCAGCCCUACUCGUAGCCUUAGUGAAGGGUCCAAUGCUGGGGUAAAAGCACAGAAUGAUUAUCAGUCUGAUUCAAUGCAGGAUGAGGUCGGAGGGGAAGCCCUUGACAAAUCAAAGAAAGCCUCUCAAGGACUACGUCAUUUGGACCGGUUGAAAAAUCUGGAUAAGAAACUGAAGCUUUCACCUUCAUCGGAUGGUGGGGAUGUUUCCCCAAACUCUAGUAGUGAAAAUGAUGACUACAUGGAAGAGGAGACAGGGAUUGGAAGUAAAGCGAUCCUAAGGAGUGAAUUGUCCCGUAUCAGUGAGAAGAUUGAGGCCCUUGCAGCAGGUGGUGAUGGACUCCUGAAACAUGUUACUGAUCUUACAAACGAAAUAGGCAGCGACGGAACAAAACUAUUAACAGAAGUUUCCCAGAAUCUACAGAAGCUUCAACACUUUGUAACAAUGUGUUAUUCUGAAAGCGAAGAUGCAUAAUUAUCUUCCAAAUCAUCAGUGGAUGUGUAUAAGAUUCCUACUUGAUCGUUUUGGAGCCCUCCGCUUUAGGUGCCUUCGAGUAAAGACUAGCAGCAAAUGGAGCUUUGCAACGACUUGGGGCAAGCAAGCUUGUGACCUGCCAUGGAAUCGAUCAUCUGAGAUUUUAGUUGAAACUUGAAAUUAGCGGUAGCCAAAUGCUAGGGGGCAAAAAAAAUGGUUAUAGGCUUGAUAGUGCUUUGAAUAUGUCAUCUUCACUUUGCAUGUUGUUGUUCAACCAGAGUAACACUUGUAGGAGAUUUGUUGGCGAUGAGAUGAGGGGAAGAUAAGAAAAGGUUCCCCCCUAAUUUUCAAAGUGCUGCUUUGCUUAACUGGAAGGAUAAUGGUUUCUUUCCUUUUCGUUUUUCUGGUUU